GCAAGAGUGUGUAGUUUGAGCUGUACCGUAGACCAGUCCACCUUAUGAUGUGGCCCUCCAUUGAUUGUGGAACUUGACAAAGACCAGGAACUUGUUUGAACUUUUAUAUCGCUGUUUUAUGUAAAUUGGUAACACCUUAAGGAAAUGAUUUGGAUGUCUGGUGACGAGAGACAAGAUUAGGAGACAGAUUUAAACAUUUAAAAGUGCAGCGUUAGUCAGAUCUUAUAGAAAUGUACAAUUUCAAUCAAGUGGAAAUUUUCUUUGUAUAUUGUAGUGAUAUUACAAAUUUUGACUUUUACACAGUUAUAGUGUUGAUGUAAAUGUAAAUUUAUGUUGUAGAAUAUACUAAUUAAUUGAUGUAUAGAUCUGAGUGAAUAUUAGUUAACGACUGCUAUUAUGUCUUGCCCUAUUUUAUUCACCAUAAAUGUAUACACUUUUGUGCCAAAGUAAUUUUGUGACUUAAUUUUGCAAUAACUGCUUUUCAUUCCAAUUUCAUGUCAGUAGAAUUAAUGCAAUAAUUUCAUUCUUAUUCAGCUGAAAAAAAAAUCAAAAUGAUAUUGCAUCAAAUUAAAACACAUAGCUGAAAUAUAUUAUUUUUUUAAUCUCUAGUUUACUAUUAAGGAAUAAUUGUCCAAUUUAAUUUAUUCAAAAAAAAACACAACAUGUUAUUGACACACUUUACCAAAGAGUAAAGGAGAGAUGUUUAAAGGAGUAAGAUUGUUGUAUUCUUACGCUUGGAUACUAGCACUUAACAAUAGCAACUCCUUACUGGGGAAAAGAAAAACAAAAAAUACAAAGUGCCUUGUAUGGAGAGAAUAUAAAUGUUUGUUCAUCAAAUUUUUUUUUAUCUUCAUGAAAAUCACAUUUCUACAGGGUUUUUUUCUUCUUCCAAAGUCGGGAUUUUUUUUUUAUUGAUAAGUGCUUUCCUGUAGGUUAGACACAUUUACGCCCAUAUAGGUAAUGAUAUGUUGUUAUACAGGGCACAAAAAAGAGUUCAUUUAUGUGUCUGUUGUCAGUGUCAACUCCCGUCCACUGAAUGUUAAUUUUACGCCUACACGGACACUGAUGUCCUUGAAAUAUGUAUUCUAUAGCCAUCUGUGAUAACAAACUGAGUGACUAUUUAUACCAUGUACUUAUAUCCAUACAUUUCAUUUUUUAUUUUUAUUUUUUGUAGAAACAUACACCUUAUUUAUAUAUCUGUUUACAUGAUUUUUGUUUGCAUAUUUUAAUGAUGGUUCGAUUGUGAUAUUGCAUAUAUCUGUAUUAAUACGUUGAAUUCCAGGAUAUAUACGUGUACAUAUCAUUUUUAUUAUAAUUUUGUUUCCUUUCUAACUGUGUACUCCAAAAUAUAUAUUACAAUGUUCUUAUCUGAAAAAUGUAUGUGGUUGAGUUAUGUAAAGUUUAAACUUUUAUACAUAAUAUAUACACGUAAUAUAUGAGCAUUUAUAUCAUCACUCAUGUUGAAACUGAAAAUAGCAGUAAAAAUAAAUGUGAUUAAAUGUG
rnacentral:sRNA from 1 species